UACGAAGGGUGCAAGCGUUAAUCGGAAUUACUGGGCGUAAAGCGCGCGUAGGUGGUUCGUCAAGUUGGAAGUGAAAGCCCUGGGCUCAACCUAGGAAUUGCUUUCAAAACUGGCGGGCUAGAGUACGGUAGAGGGUAGUGGAAUUUCCUGUGUAGCGGUGAAAUGCGUAGAUAUAGGAAGGAACAUCAGUGGCGAAGGCGACUACCUGGACUGAUACUGACACUGAGGUGCGAAAGCGUUGGGAGCAAACAGG
rnacentral:rRNA from 1 species